AAAAAGGGUCGGUUGGCUAAAUAUGCCACGCUCACCCUUGAUUGGUAAGCGCAGUAUGGAUAUCAAGACAUAUGGCCGACACAAUUUUCCUAUCG